AGAAAAAGGAGGAGAGAGAGAAAUUGAGAGCAGAGAGCUCUCGCUCAGAGAAAGGAAGAGGCAGAGAAGAAGAAGAAGAGGAGAAAAGAAAAGGAGGGGCUUCGCGCGUUCUCGUCAUGAGAGCCUCCCCAAGCCGCAUUAACUACGUAACGCAAUGCCCGGGAUCCGAGUGCGUUGGUUCGAGUGAGCGUCGUAGUUGAUUUUCGACUUUCCCAGGUGAGUGGUGCUAUCUCUUCUAAGAAUUUAUAAGCUCAUGUCUUCAAAAUGAUAAAUGAUUGAUAUUUUAUGAGUUAUGAAUAAGCAUAUUUGUUGCAUAAAAUCUGGAUCGGGCAUUUACUGCACUUUGAUAUUUAAGAAUAGCAUAAUAACUUUUUGGUGGAAAUAUAUAUUCUGUUUGAUGAAUGGAAUUGAGAAAUAUUACAUGUUUUGAGUUUGUGAAACAUUUUUAUGAAGAUCUCGGCUUUGAGAUGAUUUAUGGAAGGCUAUAUGAGUAUUGAUUUGUGAUGAGCUUUUUUUGAAAUGUAUUUGAUUUGAAAUGGAUUUAUGAGAUGAGUCUUGAAAAUUAUUUAAGAAUAUUUUAUGAAAUGUAUUUUUGGUGGAUGAGCUGAGUUGCAAAACCUUUUGGAGAUAUAUGAAAUGAUUUAUGGAUUUGGUUUGAGAAUUAUGGAUUGUGUUGUUUUGGAUUGAUGUGGAUGCUCAAUAUCGCUGUAAGCCCAGCGAGGGGCUUGUGGGUAUGCGCAUACUAUUCUAGGAUAUCUUUGUGGGCCGAGCCACCGGCUAAUAAUAGAUGGAGACCUUGCCAAUGGGGGAAUCUUGAUCGCCUCGUCACUAGGCGUUGUAUUGUGACCAUGGUUUGAUAUUGAGCAACGGAUUGGUCAAUGGUCGAGUGGACCAUUGACAUGUGAUAUGAGAUGAGUUGAUGGAAUUGACCAUCAACGUGUAAUUUGAGAUUAGUCGAUGGAAUGGACCAUCGAUGUGUAAUUUGAGAUUAGUCGUUGGAAUGGACCAUCGACGUGUAAUUUGAGAUUGGUCGUUGGAAUUGACCAUCGACGUGUAAUUUGAGAUUAGUCGUUGGAAUUGACCAUCGACAUAUAAUUUCAUUUGAUUAUCAAUGUGCGGUUUGAUGAGAUUAAUCAAUGGAAUAGACCAUUGAUGCAUGUUUUAUGA